rnacentral:rRNA from 1 species
GAUGAACGCUGGCGGCGUGCCUAAUACAUGCAAGUCGAGCGAACAGAUGAGGAGCUUGCUCCUCUGACGUUAGCGGCGGACGGGUGAGUAACACGUGGAUAACCUACCUAUAAGACUGGGAUAACUUCGGGAAACCGGAGCUAAUACCGGAUAAUAUAUUGAACCGCAUGGUUCAAUAGUGAAAGACGGUUUUGCUGUCACUUAUAGAUGGAUCCGCGCCGCAUUAGCUAGUUGGUAAGGUAACGGCUUACCAAGGCAACGAUGCGUAGCCGACCUGAGAGGGUAAUCGGCAAACCUGGAACUGGGAACCGGUCCAGACUCCUAGGGGAGGCAGCAGUAGGGAAUCUUCCGCAAUGGGCGAAAGCCUGACGGGGCAACGCCGCGUGAGUGAUGAAGGUCUUCGGAUCGUAAACCCCUGUUAUUAGGAAAGAAAAAAUGUGAAAGUACCUAUGCACGUCUUGACGGUACCUAAUCAGAAGGCCCCGGCUAACUACGU